rnacentral:lncRNA from 1 species
CUCCUCCCCCACCAAAUCCAGCCUUCUCCCAAAUGCAGAUGGGUGGGCAACCCCAUUGGCAAGGCCAGCCUCCACAAGGCAUGCCGCAUAUGCCUCCACCUCCAGUUCAGUACCGGCCACCUCCUCCAAACAUGCCACCACCUCCUCCCCAGGGAAUUCCAGGACUCCCAAGACCUCCACCCCAGCCAAUGGCAAUGGGAGGCCAGCCACAAAUGUGGCAGCAGCCACCUCCUCCUCAGCAGUUUGCUGGGAGGCC